UUCCUCUACCCCUUCCUCUAGCACUUCUAGUUCUUGAUGACAUUCCAGCACUCCUUGAAGGGAUUUCUAGUGCUGCAGAAGGAUUAGAAAGUGUUGCUCUCUCUAGAGUUUGGUGCUGAUGCAAAAUCAGUAGCACCAUGAUUAGUAGGUGUUGUUCUUGCUUCAGUAGGAGCACCAUCAUUUGUUGAUGGUGGUGCAAAAUUAAAAGCAACAGAUGCACUUGAUCUUUUGUUAGAAGAAGGUGGUACAGAUGCAAUACACUGAUCUAAAGCUUUUCUAGGUCUUUCUCUCCCUUUCUUUGCAGCAGGUUCAGCUUCAUUAUUUGUUUGUUUCUAGCAUUCAAAAGAUAAUGUACACAUUAGAUGGUUUGUGUAAAGUAGAGAAAACAGUAAUAGAUAAGUUACCUUUGGUCUGCCCAUUCCCUUUAUUGUGUUUGAUAGUUCUGCAGCACUUGCUACUUUUGGAGUAGCACCAUCUCCACCAGUCUUUAGCAUAGGACAACCUCUUUUUUUGGUGACCCUUAACAUUGACUUGGCUACAUGUCAUAGUAACUCCAGUUCUAGGGAUUUUUCUAGACUUCUUGAUUUCAUCGACUUUUGUUUCUUCUUAACUUUUUUGGCUUGCUUGGUGUUUUCUUUAUCACUGAUGGAGCAACAAAUGAGUUUCUAGAUACAUGCCAUAUUGGCAUGUUAUUCAUAGAUUGCAUGAAAUGUGAGUAAGUGGACAUGUAUCUCUCUUUAGAGUAGCAUGGAUCAAGAAAUAAAGUGGGUUACACUACUUAUGAAACAUGGUAGCUAAAGCAUUUGGACAAGGUAUCCCCUUCAACAUCCAAGAUCUACAACUGCACGCCCUUUUUCUCAAACACACAGUGUGUUGUUUAUAUCCAUCUAGAACUUCAAAUCUUGUUACUCCAUUAAACUCUGUUGGUGUUUGUCCUGACUUUGUUACCAUAAUUGAAUUUUUCUUUAGAAAAAGGAAAACAUAUUCUCCUUAUUUGUCUAAUCCUUGUUCGUAUAGGAAAAGAUUGUAUACUCUAUAAUGGAGGCUCCUUUCAUCUAGUUUGAUAGUAUCCACAAUGUAGUCCUAGGGGUGUGAGAGUUUCAUUUGGGGAGAGACUUUGUGAGACACAAAGGUUGCAGUAUCACUUGUGUGAACCUCUUUUAUUGUGAGUGAAUUAUGUAAGGUUGUCUCUCUUGACAGUUUGUACUCUCUUAUAGAGUGGAUUGCUCAUCUCCUUUUGUGAAUGUAUGUCGAUUGACCUAACCACAUUGAAUUUUUAUGUCUCUUUUGGUGUAUUUCUCAUUUAUCUUCUUAUUCAUGGUCUUUCAAGAUUUUCUUUGCUAGCUUCCGCAUGCGGAAACCUGAUUAUUUCGGUCCUAACAAGUGGUAUCAGAGUAAGGUUAAAACUGGGUGUUCAUCGCAUAUUCAUAGGCAAUAGGCAGUGAAAUCAAAAUUUAAUGUAUCAACACAUACCUCGUGACAUUGUAGAACAUGUGGAUACAAAAAUUAAGAUUUUUGAAAGAUUUGAGUUAUGGGACAGACAUUGGUGGAUGGAUAAUAGCAAUGGGAGAUUUUUUGUGAAAAGUGCAUCGGAAUUACUGAGACAUAAGAAGCAGAAAGAUGAAAACAUUGUCAAAUUAUGGAUGCAGGAAUUACCUUUCAAGAUUUUCUUUUUUCUUGUAGAAGGUCUGAAAUUGAAAGAUACCUAUUGAUGAGGUGGUAGCAAGAUAUGAAAUACCAAUGGUUUCAAGGUGCAGAAGUUGCAUACACCCACAACAAGAAACCAUUACUCAUCUGCUCAUAACAUGUACCUUUGGUAGGAAAAUCUGGUUAUACUUUACUACUGCUGCAGGUAUUCAUGGACCAUUUGUCAAAGUUAAACAAUCUAUUUUGAAGUGGUGGAAUCAUGACUGUGUCUAAACUCAGGCCUCUAUAUCAGGCUACUCCAGCUAUGAUUCUAUGGCAAAUAUGGAAGUGGAGGAACUUUAUUACUAUGGCAGAGAAUUGUCUAAGCAUAAAGUGAUUUAGGAAAUUAAUCUGAAUCUUAAUUGGGUGGACAAAAAAAUAUAUCCAUGGAUGAAGAAUAUUCCACACACUUGGCCAGAGAUGAUAGAAUUUUUGGAGAGAUAGAGGCCUAAUGUGAUUUGCAAGGUAGUUCGAUGGACACCACCUGAUUAUGGAUUGUUCAAAUAUAAUACGAAUGGUGCUUCAAGAGGCAACCUUAGUGAUAGUUCCUAUGCUUUCACUAUCAGGAAUAAGGAUGGAGAUUUGAUAUAUGCUAAAGAUGAAGUUAUUCCUGAUACUACAAGCGUGCAAAAUGAAGAGCCAUUUUAUAGGGAAUAGAACAUUGUAUUAGGAAUAGUCUAUCACAUGUAAUCAUUGAAACUGAUAGUCUCGUGAUAAAGAAAUUUUGGAUGGAGAUUAAAGGGUUUCUUGGAAUAUUGUAAUGUAUGUGGACAAGAUUAAUUUGGAGAUCUAAAGGAGUAUGUCACCUUCAACACAUAGCUAGAGAGGAAAAUCAACUGGCUGAUUUUAUCACUAACUAUGUUUUUGAUUUUGCAGGUAUUGCGCAGUUUAAUAACUUUCAGGAAUUACCAACACAUGCUCAGAGAAUAAUAAAUGAUGACAAAGUAAGGUUACCAAACUUAAGGUUCAGUACCACCGUUGCUAGAGAGUCAGACUAGAUCAGACAAGGAACAAUAAACAUUACCAUCAACUCGGAGAUGGCACAAUAAACAUGUUGCACAACACAAUUUGCAGAUAAAGACCGACAAGAUCCAUAGAAAGUCAAAUUAUUAACCUUAUAAAAUACACUAAUAUAGAUAAAAUUCACGCAACGAUAUUAAUUUCAUUAGAAAUUCAACCUGCGGGAUUUCAAAUAUAGAAGUGUAGGUAAAAAGAUUAAUAGUCGAGUCGAGAUUCGAAAGAAAAAAGCCAAUUUAUACCUGCAAAUCAACUUUAAGAGGUCUUAAUCCCAACGAUGGAAAUAAUUUUCUUGGUUAUUCGAUCCCACGGCGCCUGGUGAGAGCGUGAGGUUGUGGAAUGGCAUCAACCAAAAUUGUGAGAGGAAAAAAAAAUUAGCUGAAGUUGAUAAAAUGGGAAAGCUAUUCAGUUCUAAGGAUAGCGACUUAUAAAUGGGUGAUGAAGAUAGCUUGCAGUGAGGAUAUGCAGGUGGAAUACACCUAC
rnacentral:lncRNA from 1 species